rnacentral:rRNA from 1 species
UAUGGGGGGGGGCACUGGGGGGAAUAUUGCACAAGGGGGAAACCCGAGACCGAAAAACCGCGUGAGAGAGAAAAAGGCUUUGGUGGUAAAAAUCUCUCUCCGGGGGGAGACGAAUGACGCACCAAGGAGANGNCNNGNNC